GAGUUUGAUCCUGGCUCAGAGUGAACGCUGGCGGCGUGCCUAAUACAUGCAAGUCGAACGAUGAAGCUUCUAGCUUGCUAGAAGUGGAUUAGUGGCGCACGGGUGAGUAACGCAUAGGUCAUGUGCCUCUUAGUUUGGGAUAGCCAUUGGAAACGAUGAUUAAUACCAGAUACUCCCUACGGGGGAAAGAUUUAUCGCUAAGAGAUCAGCCUAUGUCCUAUCAGCUUGUUGGUAAGGUAAUGGCUUACCAAGGCUAUGACGGGUAUCCGGCCUGAGAGGGUGAACGGACACACUGGAACUGAGACACGGUCCAGACUCCUACGGGAGGCAGCAGUAGGGAAUAUUGCUCAAUGGGGGAAACCCUGAAGCAGCAACGCCGCGUGGAGGAUGAAGGUUUUAGGAUUGUAAACUCCUUUUGUUAGAGAAGAUAAUGACGGUAUCUAACGAAUAAGCACCGGCUAACUCCGUGCCAGCAGCCGCGGUAAUACGGAGGGUGCAAGCGUUACUCGGAAUCACUGGGCGUAAAGAGCGCGUAGGCGGGAUAGUCAGUCAGGUGUGAAAUCCUAUGGCUUAACCAUAGAACUGCAUUUGAAACUACUAUUCUAGAGUGUGGGAGAGGUAGGUGGAAUUCUUGGUGUAGGGGUAAAAUCCGUAGAGAUCAAGAGGAAUACUCAUUGCGAAGGCGACCUGCUGGAACAUUACUGACGCUGAUUGCGCGAAAGCGUGGGGAGCAAACAGGAUUAGAUACCCUGGUAGUCCACGCCCUAAACGAUGGAUGCUAGUUGUUGGAGGGCUUAGUCUCUCCAGUAAUGCAGCUAACGCAUUAAGCAUCCCGCCUGGGGAGUACGGUCGCAAGAUUAAAACUCAAAGGAAUAGACGGGGACCCGCACAAGCGGUGGAGCAUGUGGUUUAAUUCGAAGAUACACGAAGAACCUUACCUAGGCUUGACAUUGAGAGAAUCCGCUAGAAAUAGUGGAGUGUCUAGCUUGCUAGACCUUGAAAACAGGUGCUGCACGGCUGUCGUCAGCUCGUGUCGUGAGAUGUUGGGUUAAGUCCCGCAACGAGCGCAACCCUCUUUCUUAGUUGCUAACAGGUCAUGCUGAGAACUCUAAGGAUACUGCCUCCGUAAGGAGGAGGAAGGUGGGGACGACGUCAAGUCAUCAUGGCCCUUACGCCUAGGGCUACACACGUGCUACAAUGGGGUGCACAAAGAGAAGCAAUACUGCGAAGUGGAGCCAAUCUUCAAAACGCCUCUCAGUUCGGAUUGUAGGCUGCAACUCGCCUGCAUGAAGCUGGAAUCGCUAGUAAUCGCAAAUCAGCCAUGUUGCGGUGAAUACGUUCCCGGGUCUUGUACUCACCGCCCGUCACACCAUGGGAGUUGUGUUUGCCUUAAGUCAGGAUGCUAAACUAGCUACUGCCCACGGCACACACAGCGACUGGGGUGAAGUCGUAACAAGGUAACCGUAGGUGAACCUGCGGUUGGAUCACC
rnacentral:rRNA from 1 species